GGAAGGAUCAUUAACACGUGUCCCACGUAUCAAACCAAAACCGAGAACAUUGAACGUAUAUCCGGAAUGAGUUAUGGCGUCGGUAUUAAAGUCCAGGGGGACCUUCGGGUUUCCUCUGGGGUCCGCACAUUCUCAGACCGUUAACCAAAACCAUUAUUCAUUAUUAUUAUCGUCUUAAGAACUGUCGUGCUAACUGAAAGAUUGGGAAGUAACUUGUCUGGAUGCUCUGGUUCGCCGGAGAAGCCUGAGGUAGCAAUACCUCGUUGUGCCGCGACAAGCCAAAACCUCUAACUUGACUGUUGGUAAUGAUGUCUUAUUACAAACUAUGUACAAAUCUUAGCAACGGAUAUCUUGGUUUCCGCAUCGAUGACGAACGCAGCAAACUGCGAUUACUCUCGCGAAUUGCAGAGCUCAGUGAAUCAUCAAACCUCCGAACGCAACUUGCGCCAUACAGCCCUCACGGGUACGUAUGUGCACGUCCCAUUCAGUGACAUUUAAUGAUCUCAAGCUCAGAAUCGAAUAGCCUCCUGAAGGACAAGCGCUCAACAACGUGACGAUCAGGAUGGGGGCUUAGUAGACUUAUGACUUGGCUAUAAGCUUUGAGUGUUCACGCUAGUAACCGUUUCGGCUUUGCUGAGGCGGUGCUGUGUGUCACUUUAAAUUCAUUGACCGUAUGAUGUAGGGAUGAGGUGGAGUCUUUGAUCUCUCGGACUCGUUAGCCUUUGUCUCGGCAUUUGCAUUGCUCAAUGCUGUGCUGCUGACUUAACACUCCGAAACGGAGGGGGCAAUAAUACAACAAGUUCUCUAAGCUCAGCGCUAAUUACCAGCGUACUUCUCUUCGGGGAAGGUCUUGAGUGGGAGUGAAAAGGGGCGCUCUAAUUUUGUCUGUCUAUAACUUAGUCAAUAACUCCUCAACAAGGGAUUAACUUCGGUUAUCUCCUCAUUUUAGAUCUGAAUUGGGAUGAGAAGACCCACUAAAUUUAAGCAUAUUAUUCAGUGGAGGAAAAGAAACUAACAAGGAUUCCCCUAGUAACGGCGAGUGAAGCGGGAAAAGGUCAAUUUUAAAAUCCUUAGGUCACAUGGCCUUGGGAGUUGUAAUCUGAAGACGUAUGUUCAGCGUGUGACCCGGGUAUAACUCCUUUGGAAAAGGGGAUCAUAGAGGGUGAUAAUCCCGUCUUUGACCUGGAGUUCGCCGCGUACGAUGUGCGUUCUACGAGUCGAGUUGUUUGGGAUUGCAGCUCUAAAUGGGUGGUAAACUUCAUCUAAACCUAAAUAUUGGCGGAAGACCGAUAGCGAACAAGUAGCGUGAGCGAAAGAUGAAAAGAACUUUGAAAAGAGAGUUAAAAAGUACUUGAAAUUGCUAAGAGGUAAGUUAUGGAAACCAGUCUUUCCUGGGGCUAUACUUUGCGUUUGUCGGAGUGAGAUUGUUUGGGGUGGAGCUCUUUUGGGGCCAGCCUCUUGUAAUCUUUGGCAGGCGUGUCCUGUAGUCUUGGGCGUGUCAAAAUCAGUUUGACUUGUCGGAGAAAGCUAGGAGGAAGGUGGGGAAAGUUUAGGGUUCGCUUUACUCUUUUCGUUACAGCCUUCUAGUUGAUACGGUGGGUUAGACUGAGGAAAAGAUAAGCCCCCCCUUCAUUGGGCUUGGUACCUGGACCUGCUAUGUUCGCUAGCUUGGACAGCAAAGCUGUGCGGUUGGCGAAGCGUGGUACUGUUUGGGGUUCGCCGUUCGAGUGCUUAGCGAUUUUGACGAAAUGGUUUUCAUUGACCCGUCUUGAAACACGGACCAAGGAGUCUAACAUAUAUGCGAGUAUUUGGGUGCUAAACCCUGAUGCGUAAUGAAGUGAAGGAAGUUUCGGCUUCUGAGGUAGGAACCGUUCCUUCGGGGGCGGGGCACUAUCGACCGAUCGAUCACUUGUGGUAGAUUUGAGUCUGAGCAUUAUCUGUUGGGACCCGAAAGAUGGUGAUCUAUGCCUGGGGCAGGAUUGAAGUCAGGGGAAACUCUGAUGGAAGUCCGCAGCGGUACUGUAGGGGCGAAAGACUAAUCGAACCAUCUAGUAGCUGGUUCCCUC
rnacentral:misc_RNA from 1 species